GACAGAGGAUGCAAGCGUUAUCCGGAAUGAUUGGGCGUAAGCGUCUGUAGGUGGCUUUCAAGUCCGCCGUCAAAUCCCAGGGCUCAACCCUGGACAGGCGGUGGAAACUACCAAGCUGGAGUACGGUAGGGCAGAGGGAAUUUCCGGUGGAGCGGUGAAAUGCAUUGAGAUCGGAAAGAACACCAACGGCGAAAGCACUCUGCUGGGCCGACACUGACACUGAGAGACGAAAGCUAGGGGAGCAAAUGGGAGUUAGAAACCCU
rnacentral:rRNA from 1 species